rnacentral:lncRNA from 1 species
CUCCUUCUUCUAGAAGAUUAUAGAUCCAUUCUGGAUAGUAAAUUUCAGUUGGGAUUGCUGAGGUUGGAUCAAUAUUCUUCCUUCCCCCUACCAUCUCAAGCAGCAGCAUUCCAAAACUAUAGACGUCCGACUUAUAGGACACAUUUCCGAAGUUCCUGGAGAACACUUCAGGUGCAAUGUAGCCCAUAGUCCCUCUAGCUAUAGUCAUGGACACUAUGCUUUGAUCCUUAGAACACAACUUGGCCAAACCAAAAUCAGAAAUUUUUGGAGUGAAAUUGUCGUCUAAUAAAACAUUAUGAGGCUUGAUGUCGAAAUGGAGGAUUCGUUGAUCACAUUCCUGAUGAAGAUAAUAAAUUCCCUUGGCUACAGCAAGAGCAAUAUCUUGCAACUUGUCCCAACCAAGAAAACGAUUGUUAUUGUCUGCCGAUGAAAUGAAAUAGUGCAGUGAACCAUUGGCGAAGAACUCAUAAACGAGAGCUCCGUUAAAUCGAUCAGCACAGAAACUAACCAAACGAACCACGUUGACAUGGUGGAUACGUCCCAUCAUUCCAACUUCCUUUAUGAAAUCUUCCCCGUUUCUGUUGGAACUAUUGAGAACUUUUACAGCGACAAAGCAUUCAGAAGAAAGCUUUCCUUUGAAAACAGUUCCAUAGGCUCCUUGGCCUAACUUGUCCUGGAAUUGGUUUGUGAUCCUCUUAAUGUCCGCGUAGGAAUACCUGCUUGGUUUGUGAGCUUUGUAAUCUUCUAAAAACUUGUCAAUCUUUAAUUGGCUCUCCUUUUCUUUUCGAUUAGAACUAUAGACACGAUAGGCUGCAACAACCAGUACUAAUACAGCAAAUGAUCCCAGGGAUGCACCUGCACAUUAAUUAAACAAAUCAUCGAGUAAAUUAUAGUAUUCCCGACAUGGUCUAAAUAGACAUGAAUUCCUUGUUGCACCUGAAAGAAAAUAAUCAGUUAGACAACUCACAUGUUGCCACUAAUUUUCUUGUUGCACCUGAAAACAAAGAAUUGAAAUUAAGUAAAUAGUUUGCAGGGCUAAUUGAGCUCAUAUUCUGGAUGGAAGAAAACAAUGAAUUUCUCAUGACUGUUUGCACGCAGUUAAUUCAAAUCCAUGUCAAAUGUGUUGCAUCUAGUUAUUUGAAAUACAAAACUCAAUAUAUGUAAGUAGAAUAUAUUUCAAUAAAUAUUUUUCUAGAUAAGUAGAAUAUAUAUGUAAAACGAAAUCAACACUAAAUAUAUAUGCAGCCUUACUGGCUUUCUUCAAGUAAACGCAUUCAAUUUCUGCGUACCCGGCGGCGUACAAUUCUACAACUGUUGCCUUCCGCUUCACAUUCUGCACAAUUUGGUUUAUCCCAUUUGAAAAGAGGAUCACCAUUCGCGCCCGCACUUGGAACCGACAAAACAUCGUACAUCUUUGUACAGGACUCGAGGGCCAGCGAGUCCCAAAGAAAAUAGUCAGAUGAAAGGGCAUACACUCUGUAGCCAGGGCCACCUAUGCAGGGAACUGGUGUGUCUAAUUCUCUUUCAACAGGACAGUGGAAUAAGGUAUAGUUUCUGGUAAAAAAGGGGAGGAAGUAGAAUUGAGAGGCUGUCAAUGGCAUGUUGAUGUUGUCAACUUCUAAAGGCUUUAGUAGCAGGCAAUUAUACGGUUUAUGGACUUGGACUUCCUGAUUUUUGUAAUCUAUGCGUUUCACCAAGAAUUUCAUCACUACCACUCGGUGCUCCUGUCCGCCGUCACCCUCAUUCGCAUGGCAAUCAGUUGGCCGACCACAGUGAUGUCUGCGGUGAAACGGGAAAUGGAUAGCCUUGCCAUGAUUGCCGCAUUCGGACUCCGUGCACGUAUACGCAUUUUGGGUUGCUCUGAGAAUUGUAAACAAAGCAAUUAAGAAUAUGCGAGGCCAAGAGAUAUCGAGCUCUUGCUGCUGCAUUUCUGAGGUUUUUCCCAUGGAUUUCUUCUAAGCAAUGGUAGGUCUAUGUAAAUAGAGAGUAUUUUUUAUUAAGUUCAGCUUCACGGAAGAUGUUCUUACAAAAACUAACAACCAAAGAUUCAAUUAAUUACACAAGAAUUACUCGGAAAGCAAGCACAACUGCAGUUUCAUCGAAGGUGCUCUUACAAAAACUAAUUAUUGUUCAACACAAAAGACUUUGUAGAGCACUUGACCAUAAAAAAGCAAUUGAUCGAUCGGGUCUCAAUCAAAGACUCAUUCACAAUUAAUUAUUGUUGUGUCCUGUCCUGUCCUCUGUGUGGUUCCAUUCACGGUUACCUCAAGGACCGCGUCUAAAAAAUGCGACUUUAUAUGGAAUUUAUGUCACCUUAUAUUUUUGCACAUUACUUUAUAAUAUUAGCACGAAAAUUAGCAUUAAAUUGUAAACGAGCAGAGAAUCUAUGAAGAGUUUCAUUUCGAGAGAGUCUCAUUAGACCAUCUCCAAAGGAGAUGUAAAAAAUGUCACUAGACAUAUAAUAGUAACAAAUGACGUACCAGUUACUCCAACCGAGAUAUCAAAGCUAAAAUGGAAAAUAUGGCUAGCUGUAGACAAAGAUAUGUCAAAUUUGAAGUUGCCUUCAAAUAUGGUUUUUGUUAUUUUCAAAGGCAUUCUUCUUGUCUCACCUUUUUUUUUUUUUAGUACAUCGAUACUUUUACACUAGGGAGAUGAGGAGUUCGGUUAAGCCACACAAUGGGCAGCCUAAUUUGGUAUCGAAUUCGUCAUCCACGAGAUUCUAAGACUUCUCACUUCUAAGUAAAGAGGAAUACCACAAAACCGUAAUACUGAAUAGCUACUUGUCUUACCUUAAAUGUUAGCAUAUUUAAAUAUUAUUUUAUUAUUUUAAACCGAUAACAACUCAACUUUCAUUAUUUUUGUUUAAAAAAACAUAAAUGAAGUAAUAAAUUUUGGCAUAUUAGGUGGAAGAAAAAUAUUAACAAUAUGUCAAAUUAUCAAGUCAACCAUCAAAUUAAAAUUUAAUAUUUUAAAUUUGACAUUUUUUUUUGAGAAAUGCUUUCUCAUUAUUUAUUGUUUUGGUAAAAUACCUAGUUCCACAGCGGAAAUUACCUUUUCUGUUGUAAAAUCGAUGGUGUGUGCAGUGGAAUAAACAAAUAAGACACAAUAUUUACGAGGUUCCUCUACAGUCAGUGUGACUGGAGUACGUCCUCGGGGCAGCAGCAAUGCUUUUAUUUAUAAUCUGAAGUAAUAAGAUUACAAAGAUAACUCCCCUCUCUCUUUUCUCCCUUUCUGCCGUGAGCCUUGUGGCUUCUCACUUCUUCCUCUCUUCUUCCUUUUAUCACCACAUUUUAAACACUUGUAAUGCUCUAUUUAUAGAGCAAACAUUUUGAAAGCAAACAAAACACUAUUAAACUUUUGAAAGGUUUACUAUAUGCAUGUGGGCAUACAUACCCACUAUUUACAACACUCCCCCUUGGAUACCCACAUAAGUCUUUAAUUAACUUGUUAAAAUCUUGAUCUGUUUUUAAUGCUCCCCUUGAUAAGUAUCUCCCCCUAAUUUCAAAUCAUUUAGGCUGAUCGUUGAUCAUUCUGUUUCAGUCUCUUAGUAAGAAGAGUUGCCGAAAGAGGUGCUUUACUUGUUGUUAACUUUCCACGGGCUUGUUCUAGAACUAGGCUGGAGGGUCUUCUACUAGACUUCCUACAAAGGUCUGAAUUUACUUCUUUUAUCUGGAGCUAAAUUUAAUUCAAGGGUGGUGGACACUUGAUCUUGAAUCAAACUUGUGAUUUCUUCAAGGACCUUCGAGACUUGAUCUUGAAUGAAGUUGUACCGUGGGGAGCUUCACAUGGCAAGUGAUCUUCGGCUUUGUCGGGGAUGAAUCAGCACAUGUUUAUUGCGCUUGUCUCCACAUACUUCAAUGUAUCAUUUUCACUUGCCUUACUUGUUCCCCUUGCUUAAGUAGUAUUUUCCCUGGUUUUCCCCAUGCAUGUGUGGCAUAUUCUCCUAUAGUAUUUGCUCUCUGAUGCAGGAGUGGAAUGCAACCCUUACAUUUGGAUGGUUCAUCACUUCUUGGUGACUGGAGACCCAACUCCAACAACAGUUGAAGAUGACUACUCGAGAGCAAUACUAGGUAAGCAAUCAGGAAAGGUUACAGGCAGUCAGUUCCUUACCGGAAGUUUGAAUGGAGGUUCCGACAUAUUGCUUUCUUUAUCCUUGUCUUUGCAGGUAAGAACAAGGACAAAGGAAAGGACAGGGAGAUUGCAUGAUAUGAGAUACUUUUGCUCUCAUCCCUGAUGAUAUGAGAUAUUCUUGCUCUGGUGUGACUUGUUUUAAAGAGGUAUUCUCGGAGAGGAAGAAAAUUGAGUAUUUCGAGAUGCUGUGUUGAAAAUGUAUUCUCGGAGAUGAGGAAGAGUUGGACAUUCUUGCAAGUCUGCCUUGUUAUGGAGAACGGAGGUCAACAUAUAUAGAGAUUUCCCCAAUAGCAGGUAGUGGUGUGGAUGUGGCUUUGUCAUCCACGCUUGUUGGCAACAUUGUUCUAGUUGGAAUAGUAAGAUUUACACGUUUUCAACUUUGUCAAAGAUCUUUGACAAAGUUGCACGCGAUAUCAAAAAAGGCUGAGAUUGCAUUUGAAAAUGCCAACGAACUUUAUUCAGGAAAAUCUGGUUUUUGAAAUUCGGAAAGUGGUGCCUCUUCGAUCUCUGAACAAGUGGCUCUGCUACCUCUUCUUUUAUAAAGACAUCAAUUGUGUUCAAGAGUAUAAAGUUGCUGCCUGUAGAAAUUUUCCCCUUCUUGCACUUCUGAAAUUUUAUUUGACCUCAUUUUUCCUUCAUCAUUUCUGAAAAUGACUUGCCCAUCUAACAUUUGCUUAGAUUUGAGUCUUAGGAGUGAUACGGACGAGCAUCGUCAAGAUAAUAUAUGGCGUCCGUCCUUCUUAUCUUCUAAUGGUCCUCUUAUAAUUGGGGACUCUGUGGUGAAAAAUAGCAUAACCGUUAUUGUGGUAGCUAGGAAUCUUCUCACUCCAAAGGAUAACAGAAUCCUUUUAAAACGGUCUAAUGAGUUGGCCGUUCAAGACUCCUUGGCUCUCAGUGUUCAGUGUGCUGGCUUUGUUUCCAAUAUGGGGCAACGCCUACUUGCUCAAACUCACCAAGUUGAAUCAUUGAUGGCUGAGGUGGCAAGUCUUAAACAAGAGAUCUGAGGGCUCAAGCAUGAGAAUAGAGUGUUACACGUGCUUGCAAAUAAUUACUCGACGAACAUGAAAAGAAAGCUAGACUAGCUGCAAGAAUCCGAAAGUCGGAUUCAAAGUGAUCACCAGAGGUUCGUUGCUAGAUUCUAAAAGCAACUGAUGCAUUCCCCUUCUGGUGUUUUGCCAAGUACUGGGGUGCCACAUGAUCAAUCUCUAAUGCCUUCUCCUUCUAGGGUACUUUCGAGUAUUGAGGCUUCACAUAAGCAACCUUUGUGAAUGCUUCAUCCUGGUUGUUUGUUUUAACUCAUGUGUAUGUAUAUAUCUGUAAUUUCUCGGAGAUAUUAAUAGAUAAGCUUUAUUUCAUUCAGUGUAUUGUGCUAAAUACAAUAAAGCAUAUACUUCACCAAGAUGUGGUACUUCUGGACCAAAUAUCAAUUUAUCUUUACCCUCACGAAGAUAAAUGAUCUUUCUUAGUGUCUACAUCAUUUGAGUAUUCAACUCAUAAUCUUCAAUCCAUGGUUCUUUUAAUAUUAUAAACAUCAUGGAUAAGAUUCGUGUUGGUAAAUUGUUCGAUCUGCAGUCCGAGACAAUAUUUCUCUCAACACUUUAUAAUCUUUCUUGACUCUUUAGGAGUCUCAAUUUAAUAUCAUCAACUCUUCAGGAAUUCUAAUUUAAUGUCAUUAACUUUUGCAAGAGAUUUUAGUAUGUUGCAACAAUAUCAUAAUGAUAGUACUCACUAAGGAAAUUUAUAUCAUCCAUUAGUAUUGAGUACAUAAUUCAUGUUUUACCCUUCCGGGGCUUACUUCAAGCAAUUUGAAUCAUUCAAGGAUUUUCUACACUUCAUGACAUAUUUUUCUUUGGAAUUUGUACAAAGCAACUUGCUCCCAUGUAUAAUUGGGGGAUUUACUUAUAGAGAUAUGAUGUGGCUGACUCACAACCCUUCGUAUAUAAUUCUCCAUUCAUAUGAACUUGUUUACAAGAGUAUAAUUUCAGAUUUCAAUUAGUAACCUUGUGUCAUAUCAUAUGAGUGUAUUUCACUGUAUUACAAAUGCCCAAUGUAACCUCCUUAGUUCAACAUCUUUUAGCUAUUUGUAUUUCAAGUAUAUAGGUCCAUUUUUCCACGUUCUUACAAAAUUGUAAUGGAAUUGCCUUUCUCCAUUUUGGCCAAUAAUUUUGUUGACGAAAAAGAAUGAGACUCAAUAUCAACACAACUCAUUGAUGAAUUUAGUAGCUACUUGUAAAAACCAAAAUUACCAUUGGUUAUCAUCAAUCCGUGAUCCCAUAUUCUCAUGUGCAUGCGCAUGCAUAAAAACUUUUUAUUUCUUUUUGGAUAUCCAUUGCCUCUUCAAGGGCACAUAACCUCUUCUUGAGCGUUAUAGAGCUUGGAUUUUAAUCUUCACUUUUGGGAGUUGAGUCAUUGGAACCUAUAUGUCUAUCAUACUCCAUGCAUGAGACAUCAACAUUCCUAUGUCCGCGGAUUGUCCUUUCUAGGAUGUAUAUCCAUGCGGCGAUUGUCAUACUUCUAACAUGUAACAGUUAUGUUUCGGGAAUGCAAUAAUUCAGUAAUGCCAUAUUCUUCUUCUUUCGAAUGAAUGAACCUUUUGAGUCUAAGGGUCUGCCACGCUUCAGGCGUGCAACAGAUAAAUCAUUUACUGCACCAUAAUUUUGUCCAACAGGGACAUUAAUUCUUGUAGGCACAUUUGUAGCAAGUAUAUGUGAUUUCAUCACUUUCGUUGCAUCAUUAAGUUGUUCUUACUUUAUUUUCUCAUUGAUUGCUUUGUGAAUCAAAAUAAGACAAAGUCUCUUUGUUCUUCUGGAAUGAUUUUUUCUCAUCAUUCUUCUGGAAUGAUAUUUUCUCAUCGUUCUUUUGGAAUGAUGUUAUUUUCUCCCCAUAAUGGCGGGAAAACUGUCUUAUCAAAAUCAUAGUCUGCAAAUAAUGUGGUAAAUAUAUCCCCAGUCAAGGGUUCCAAAUGUUGAAUGAUAAAUGAUGUUCAACAUCAAUGCCUAAUCGGCGAUGAUGCCUCAUUUCAAUACAUUAUGGCAAUGCAAUAGGCACAUAGAUAACACAAUAAAAAACUCGUAAAUGUGUAAUAUUUGGCUGGUGCUUAAACACGAGUUGUACUGAGAGAUAUCGAUGGUUGGUAACUGGUCUCAACCAAACUUAAUAGUGAAUUAUGUAAAAUGGCAUGUCCACAUGUAGAAAAACUUGCAAUUUCGUUUUCAUGAGCAGAGCACGGGUAAUCAAUUUCAUCCGAUUAAUAAAUGCUUCUGCUAAAUCAUUUUGAGUAUGAACAUGAGGAACAUUGUGUUCAACAUCAAUGCCCAAUGACAUGCAAUAAUCAUCAAAAUUUCGAGAUGUAAACUCUCCAGCGAAUAUACAUUAUAUCAUCAUUUACAUACAUCAAGGAACUUCUGGUCCUUAUUUAAUAGCCUAUGGAUUGAGAUUCUCAUGGCCUUUAUUACAAUUAAGUUGAGGCACUGCAACAUUUCAAACUUAAGGUACUUAUCAAGAAACUUCAUGUCCGAUCUUGAGGAUCUAGUGACUUCAUGCCUGAUCUUUUUACAUGAUGGAACUUCGGGUCCAAUCAUUUUAUGUGAUGAGGAUCAAGAAACUUCAGGUUCUGAUUUGAUCAAGGAACUUGAUUUGAUCAAGGAACUUCAGGUCCAGUAUGUACUCAUCGUAACAAAAAUAAGUACAAUAAAUAAAUUAAAGCAAUAGGCGGUAAUUCUGGCCAUGGUAAAUAAAUUGUUUUUAAGUAAAUAAAGUUUGUGACAAGGGCUUUGAUUUAGCACCAUUUACAUAAAUAUCAAAGCCUUAAAGAAAAGGAUAAUAAUUUUACCCAAUGUAAAUAAAUUGCUUUAAAUAAAUAGAACUUGUGAAAUGAUUUUAAGCCAACACUAUUUACAUAAAUAAAUAAUAUAAGAACCUUUUAUUUUGCCACUUCCUUUUGUCCCUUUUUGUUAAUUAAUUUUUUUUUUCUUUCUGUCGGCACCAAGCUUCAAAACUUUUUCUUUUCUCACAUGCUGCACAAUUCCAAAAAAACAACUUUGCCUUUUGUUUUCUUUCACAUGGUGCAACAUACCUUUUCAAGGCUUUGGCCCCAUUUCCCUUUUUAUUUUUGUUUUCACAAUUCUGAAGUCAUUUUGGUUACCCAGGAAAUAAUAGUAACAAUAAGUACCAAUUGGUGUUCCUCCUCCGUGAGUUUCGAAAAAGUCGAAACGGUUCCCAUAAGUUUUGGAGUCAAGAGUGUCUACAACUUAUGAGAAGAUCACCGUUAGAUUUAGCUCAAACUUUAGUAUGAUAUGGAUAAGAGGAUAUUGAACAACGUUUGUGAAGAAACAAUUUCAAUCUGAGCUACCGAAAUGGAGUUUUGGUACUCAUAAGGUGGCUGUCCAGUUUUCUGCUGAAAUUAGAAACUGGUUUGGUAUUUCAGAUAUCUGCGACGAUCGCACAGUUAAAAUUUUCUGAAAUUUUGAUAUGUUGUAAAUACUGAGCAGACGAACAACUUUCAAGAAGAAAGUAUUUCAAUCCGAGGUCCGCAAGUUGGAGUUCUGAGGCUAUUUAUAUGGCUGUCAAAUUCUUUACAAAUUUUGAGUCUGUACUCUUUUGCUUCUUCAAGGGAUGAUAUACAGUCAUACAACAAUAUAUAUAGUUGCUUCAAGAAAAUCAAUUGUAUUGAGAUUUAAAGAUGAAAUGAAAAGAUUUUCUUAUCUGCGAGAUUCCAUUUCCAGCUGAAGGAGGUGAACAGGAUUUGUGGCGCUGUGCUUUCCACUGACAUGAGAGCUUCUCAUGCUGAUAACGUGUUGUAAAAUCGACGGUGUGUGUAGUGGAAUAAACAAAUAAGACACAAAAUUUACAAGAUUUCUCUACAGUCAGUGUGAAUGGAGUACGUCUUCGGGGCAGCAGCAAUGCUUUUAUUUAUAAUUUGAAGUAAUAAGAUUACAAAGAUAACUCUCCUCUCUCUUUUCUCCCUCUCUGCCAUGAGCCUUGUGGCUUAUUACUUCUUCCUCUCUCUUCCUUUUAUCACCACAUUUUGAACACUUGUAAUGCUUUAUUUAUAAAGCAAAUAUUUUGAAAAGCAAACAAAACACUAUUAAACUUGUGAAAGGUUUACUAUAUGCAUGUAGGCAUACAUACCCACUAUUUACAACAUUUUUUUUUCUUUUGUUAAGCAAACAGGGAAACCUUAACUUUUUAUGUUGUAGAGUCAUUCCUCCGCCUGUAACUUUCAAUCUCAUGCAUGUGUAAAAUCCGGAUCCUUUUCCUAGGAUUCUAGAGAUUUCAUGAUCGUAACCGUUCAUCGUACAUUAUGUGGUUAGAAAUCAUUUCAAAAUUUAAAAAUUUUAAAUUAAAUAUAAAUAGUACCUAACGAAAAUUGACCAUACUAUAUACGAUGAACGGUCACGAUCAAGGGAUCCCUAUGAUCUCUAGGAAAAUGAUCUGACAAGAAUCCUUUUCCGUAAAAUCAUAUCUUUUGUGUUUAUAUAUAUAUUUAUAUAUUAUUUGUAUUGCUGCGUACUUUCUGUGUUAAACCUCGCUGAUAUUUUUCUCCACUGGAAUGAGUGGAAGGUCCUCCUCCUUUUCCUCCCUAUGACUAACAACCAAAGACUCAAUUAAUUACACAAGAACUGCUUGGAAAGCAAGCACAACUGCAGUUUCAUCGAAGGUGCUCUUACAAAAACCAUGUUAUGUAGUUAAACACAAAAGUCUUUGUAGCCCACUUGACCAUAAAAUGCAAUUGAUCGAUCGGGUCAAAUCAACAAUCAAUUAUUGCAUUGUCCUGUCCUGUGUGUUUGAUUCCAUUAAAUCAGAAAUUAUAUCGUUUGUGGUUUACCCCAAUCACGGAAGCCCACAAAGAACGACUUAUUGACUUACAUUAUUUAUAAUUAUGGAAAAUACUAAAAAACCUAUUUUAAAAGUAGAAUUCUCUAUAGACAUUAUGUUAUUUAUAUAUUUUUUGCAUAAUAUUUUAUAAUAUUGGUACGAUAAUUGACGUUAAACUAUAAGGUGGUAGAUGCGAGAUUUUUCAGUAUGACCGUCACACGAGGUGGUACACCACGUGUCAUUAUAUAAAUGAUGAGAUAUGUGUCUUAAAAAGUUAAUAACUUAAAAAAAAAAAUAUUUUUACCACUUACGUAAAAACACGUAAUGUACCACCCGUAUUCCCGUCACAACUCAAAAUUUCUACUGGUAGAGAGUUCCACUUUGAGAGUCUCUUUAGCAUUUCUCAUAAUUUAUUGUUUAGGUAAUGCUAGGGAAACUAAAUAUGGAGACAAAAAUUUGGAGAUUAAAUGAUGUAUCACCAAUAAGAAUGAAUACGUUUAACAACGCUUAAAUAAUAAACUAAUCAUUAACUAGUAUGUCCUUUAUUUUCCAAACUUUUAUCUACAAAUUUAUUCUCAUUUAACAUUAUCUUUAUUGUUUUGGUCAAUACCUAGUUCUACAGCGGAAAAUACCCCUUUUUUUUUUCUUUUGUUAAGCAAACGGAGAAACCUUAACUCUUUCAUUUGUAAAAUCAUUCCUCUUUACCUGCCCCUUUCAAUCUCAUACAUGUGUGAAAUCUUUUAUUUUCUGUUUAUAUAUAAAUUAUUUGUAUAGCACACCUGUUUCAAACCUCGCUGAUAUUUUUCUCCAUGGGAAUGAGUGGAAGGUCCUCCUCCUCCUCCUCUAUGCGGAUUUUAAUUGCGGCUUUUAUUGUUAUUAGCUUAUCCCCUAAAACCAUUUGUAACGCCGCCCAGCAAACGUGUACCCCUUCUUCCUGCGGCCAUAUCCGCAAUAUAAGCUACCCUUUUCGACUAAAAGGUGAUCCGCGCCACUGCGGCGAUUCACGCUUCACCCUUUCUUGCGAGAACAAUAUUACCAUACUAAGCAUAAGUUUAUCUGGCGAGUACUAUGUACGGGCAAUCAACUACCAUAAUCAAACAAUCCGAGUCGUUGAUCCGGGCAUUGACAAGAGCAAUUGCUCCUCCCUUCCUCGUCAUUCUUUGGGUUAUUCUAUGUUUACCGAUCCGUAUGAUAUAUACAACCCCGACGUCGAAAAUUGUACUGGUUAUGAAGCAGAUGCGAAAAACAAAAGAUUUACGGAUGCAUCAUCAUCGCCACCAAUCUGCUCAAGAACAAUAGCUUUAACGUUUUUGAAGUGCGGGAGUCCAGUGAAUUCAUCUCAAUCUCUGUCCGUGGUCGACACUGCUCUAUGUUAUCCUGUUGAAUCUACUUCGACUUCUUCUUUGUCAUGGUCGUCGUCCGCAUCCCCCCAACCAAAAACUUAUGGCUAUGUCGUGAUUGGACCGUUUCGUGUAUGGGAGUUGAAUGAAGGUUGCAGCAUAGAGCGAGUGACUUUCGCCUACUUGUCCGACGACUACGACGCUUCUUAUAAAUCCAUACACAAUUCUCUGGUAUAUGGCUUUGAGCUUAACUAUACGGUCUAUUCCUCUCGUGACUCCCAUUGCGGAGGAGCCCAGUGGAGAUACAGUGUUAGAUGGAACAAUGUUCAAUGUUAUCCUCACAGCGUUGGAGGUGAGUAGUGAAUAAAUCUCAAUUUUAAUUUUUCAUUCAUUUAUCAUCUCUUGUACCUAAACAAGUAAUAUAGAAGCUUAUUUAUAUAAAUGAUCGCAGAGGCAAUGGUCAUCCUUUGUCUCUCUUAUGAAAUCUGUUAGACCAACAAGUUUGAGAUUUUAAUUUAAAAAUCAACACGUGUGCCCACUAAUGUUGUAUUUUUCUUCUUUUUGCUCUGUCACUGUAGGUUUGUUUCGACUUCUAUGGGCUGGGAUUCAAGUUUCAAGGUAAGAGAUCUAUAUAUGAGUGCUUAUAUGACAUUUGAUAGAUAAAAUUUAACUUUAGAGGACAUACAAAAUUAACAUGUUUGUUAAUCCUCUCUAAUAAUAGUGUAAUAAUAGUGUGUCCUAUCAUUUCAUGUGAGUCUCAUCUGUAUUAAAGUGUGUAAGCAAAUAUAUCAAUUUUGUUGUGAAUUAAGAAUUAAUUUGUAUGUUAGAUUAAUGGUUUAAUUCCAUAAUUUCUAGGUCACUCUAUCGAAAAAAUAAUAAAUUUUACCGGAUUACCAUAGAAAAUUAUAUGAUAUCAGUGCAUGUCCCUGCAUCCUAGAUUGAUUCUUGCAUAGAUGGGGCUAGUGAGUUAUGAUCGUGUAGGAUGAAAAUUUGUUUCAAGACGCAUAUAGUUCAUUUUUUUAUACUUUCUUCACCCACACAACUGUGUACAAAGCAGAGAAGUGAAUAACUGGAUACAAUAAAGUAUUGCCUUAUAUACCUUAUUGUUUGUCUAAGUUAUAACACACAGAAACAAAAUCUCCAUCCCUUUUGUAAAUAAAGCUUUCAUGUCCACCCACCAACGCUAUUUACACCUACUUUUUAAUUAAAAUUACAUAUUUAACCUGUGUAAAAUGACUUUUGUGACCCCAAUAAAAAUUAAUUUUAUUUUGUAUUUUGUAGCUAAAAGAAUAAAUGAAACUAAACAACAACAACAACAACAAAGCCUUUUCCCACUAAGUGGGGUCGGCUAUAUAAAUCCUAGAACGCCAUUGCGCUCAGUUUUGUGUCAUGUCCUCCGUUAGAUCCAAGUACUCUUAAGUCUUUUUCUAGGGUCUCUUUCAAAGUUUUCCUAGGUCUUCCUCUACCCCUUCGGCCCUGAACCUCUAUCCCGUAGUCACAUCUUCGAACCGGAGCGUCAGUAUGCCUUCUUUGCACAUGUCCAAACUCAUUUUGUGUACGUGUUGAUGCUUCACCACCCAACAUUCUGUGCCAUACAGCAUCGCCAGCCUUAUUGCCGUCCUAUAAAAUUUUCCCUUGAGCUUCAGUGGCCUACGACGGUUACACAACACGCCGGAUGCACUCUUCCACUUCAUCCAUCCAGCUUGUAUUCUAUGGUUGAGAUAUCCACCUAAUUCUCUGUUCUUUUGCAAGAUAGAUCCUAGGUAGUGAAAACGGUCGCUCUUUGGUAUCACCUGAUCUCCGAUCCUCGCCCUUAACUCAUUUUGGUCUCCAUUUGCACUGAACUUGCACUCCAUAUAUUAUGUCUUUGAUCGGCUUAGGCGAAGACCUUUAGAUUCCACCACUUCUCUCCAAAGGUUAAGCUUCGCAGUUACCCCUCCUGAGUUUCAUCUAUCAACCCUAUAUCAUUUGCAAUUAAGGAUUGUUGAUGCACAAAAUCAGUGAGGACUUCGGUACAACAACAAGUAUUAAGUUAUUGCUCUGGUCAUUAGAGUGGAUAAGUAUGUAAAUGGAUAGAGACAGGAAAGCAAACAUAAGAUGAACGUGGUUCACCCAGAUUGGCUACGUCCACGGAGUAGAUGAGUUCGCAUUAAUUGUGAAGGGUUUACACAAGUACAUAGGUUCAAGCUCUCCUUUAGUGGGUACAAAUGAAUGAUUUAGUACAAAUGACAUUAGGAAAUAUUGUGGGAGAAUGAUCUCGUAAUCACGAAACUUCUAAGUAUUGAAGUGUGGUAUCGUCUUCACUUGCCUUAUCUGUCUCAUAGGUAGAUGUGACAUUUUCUUUGGAAGUACUCUUCCUCCAUCCAGGGGCGGUAGCUUUAACUGGUGGAGAUGCACAAGGUAAUGUAUCAAUUUCACUUGAAGCUUACUUGUAGUGUCAGGCUUGGUCAAGCGCGAUACAAACCAUGUAGUAGGAGUCCCCCAAGUCGCCGAGCUAGGGGAUCUGCUGAAAGAUGUGACAGACAAGGUAAGCAAUCAGAGCUCUAAGUAAUCAGUCCCAGAUCAGAAGUUUGAUUUCGAGUUCCGGCUGAUUGUUCUCAUUCUCCCUAUCUUGCAGGCAGCAUGAAGGAUAAAGAGAAGAAAAGGAGAAUAGAUGAUAUGAGAUACUUUUGCUUUUGAAGAAGUAACUUUCCACAGGCUUAUUCUUGAACUGGGCUGGAGGGUUUUCUGGUUUCCUCCAGAGUAUAAAGCCGACUGAAGAAUUUGAGGGUCAAAACAAGUCCAUCAAAUCUAGAGUACGUUCGACCCUGCUGAUAUGGGAUACUUUUGCUGUUGACAAAGUAGUGGAUGUAUCGGCACGUGUUUUGUUACGCUUGUCUCCACAUGCUUGUAUCCUUCUCACUUUCCCUAUCGGCUCCUCAGGCAGAUGUGGUAUCUUCUCUGGAAGCAUAAGAUGUUGAAGAUGAGUACUCGAGAGCAAUGCCAGGUAAGUAAUCAGGUAAGGGGUUCCAGGCAGUCAGUUCCUGACUGGAAGCUUGAUUCCAAGUGCUGACUGAUUGCUCUCUUUCUCCUUGUCUUGCAGGUAAGAACAAGGCCAAAGGAAAAGACAGGGAAAAAGCAUGAUAUGGGAUACUCUUGCUUUUAACCCUGAUGAUAUGAGAUAUUCUUGCUCUGGUGUAGCUUGUUUGCAGAGGUAUUAUCGGGGGGAAAGAAAGCUGAGUAUUUCGAGAGGCUUCGUUGGGAGUGCCCUCUCAGAUAUGAGGAAGGGUUGAGCAUUUUUGCAGGUCUGCUUGUCCGUUGAGGAUGGAGGUCGACAUAUAUAGGAGUCUCCCUAACAAGAAGUAGUAAUGCUAUUCCUUUACCCUGCUUAGUCAUAGCACGGUAGUGGGAGCUGCCAGCUUCACGUGUGUCAGAGCACUUUGAAAAAGUGGUAUGUGGUAUCUGGAAAGCUAAUGUUGCGUGUGAAGAUUACAGACAGGUUUUAUCCAAGGAGAUCUAGCUCUCGAAGUUGAGAAAGUGAUGCUUCUUCGGUUUUCGAACAAGCAAUCAUGUCGGGGAUCUAUCUCUCGAGAUUCGGAGAACGGUGCCUCUUCGAUUUUUGAGAGAGCACUCCUGCUGGGAGUCUGGCUCUCGAGAUUCAGAGAGUGGUGUCUCUUCGAUUUUUGAGAAAGUAAUCAUGCUGGGAGUUUCGGAGGACGGUGCCUCUUCGAUUUUGGAGCAAGCAAUCUUGUUUGGAGUGUUUUCUCAAAUGUGAGUAAAGGUAGGGCAUGUUUGCUAGUCUACCUUGCCAUGGAGCACAUAGGUUGACACACAGGGACUUUCCAAUUAUCCAGCCGUGGUGCUGUUCCUUUACCCUUGUAGGUAAUAAUAUGAUAGCUAAACCUUCAAAAUUUCUGUGUCUAAAACUUUAUUGGUGUUGUUUCUUUGCUAUUCUUUUACCCUUCUUGGUCAUAGCGAUGUAGUGGGAGCUGCAAGCUUCACGUGUCUAAACUUUGUUAGAGAUCUUUGGCAAAGUUAUCUGUGGUACCCAUGAGCUGAUGGUGCGUGUGAAAAAUGGAUGAUUGAAUAGUAAGAUUCACGUGCUUUCUACUUCACCAGAAUGCCCGUAAUUUCAGCAAAGCUGAGUGUGCAUGUGACAGAUGCUGACAAGCCUGAAAAAAAGCAGGUGCCUCUUCAAUUUCGGAGAUCGGCCCUCGUGGUCUCUGAGCAGCCCAGCUUUUGAGAAAGCAAAUGCCUCUUCGAUUUCUGAGAUCGGCCCUCGUGGUCUCUGAGCAGCCCAACUUUUGAGAAAGCAAACGCCUAUUCGAUUUUUGGGCAGACGCCUCUUCGAUUUCUGAAGCUCCGUCGAGUGCAGAUUUUUAUAGAGGCUGGCAUUAAGUUUCAAAGCACACUUGAAUCUUCACCAGUAGAAGCUCCCUUCUUGCACUUCUAAGAUCUUGAUUUGUCCGACCUCUUCUCUCUUCAACACCUUUGAAAAUGUCUGGCCCCUCCGACCGUCGUUUUGACUUGAACCUUGUUGAAGAGGCAGCCACGCCUUCUCCAGACAACAUAUGGCGCCCAUCCUUCUUAUCCCCUACUAGUCCUCUUACCGUUGGGGAUUCCGUGAUGAAGAAUGAUAUGACUGCUACGGUGGUGGCCAGGAACCUUCUCACUCCCAAAGAUAACAGACUAUUUUCCAAACGGUCUGAUGAAUUGGCUGUUAAGGAUUCUCUGGCUCUAAGUGUUCAGUGUGCUGGUUCUGUGUCUAAUAUGGCCCAACGCCUAUUUGCUCGAACUCGCCAAGUUGAAUCAUUGGCGGCUGAAGUGAUGAGUCUCAAACAGGAGAUUAGAGGGCUCAAGCAUGAGAAUAAACAGUUGCACCGGCUCGCACAUAACUAUGCUACAAACAUGAAGAGGAAGCUUGACCAGAUGAAGGAAUCUGAUGGUCAAGUUUUACUUGAUCAUCAACGGUUUGUGGGUUUGUUCCAAAGGCAUUUAUUGCCUUCGUCUUCUGGGGCUGUACCGCAUAAUGAAGCUCCAAAUGAUCAACCUCUGAUGCCUCAUCCUUCUAGGGUUCUGUCCAGUACUGAGGCUCCGAAUGAUUCCCCUCCGGUGCCUUCUCUUUCUGGGACUCUACCGACUGCUGAGACUUCUCCUAAGCAACCUUUGUGAAGGCUCCCUCUUAUUUGUUUAUUUUGACUCAUGUAUAUGUACAUAUUUGUAACUUAUCGGAGAUAUCAAUAAAUAAGCUUUGCUUCAUUUCCAACGUAUUGUGUUAAAGACACCAAAGCCUUCUUCACUGAGUGGGGUCGGCUAUAUGAAUCUUAGAACGCCAUUGUGCUCGGUCCUGUGUCAUGUCCUCCGUUAGAUCCAAAUACUCUAAGUCUUUUCUUAGAGUCUCUUCCAAAGUUUUCCUAGGUCUUCCUCUACCCCUUCGGCCCUGAACCUUUGUCUCGUAGUCGCAUCUUCUAACCGGAGCGUCAGUAGGCCUUCUUUGCACAUGUCCAAACCACCGUAACCGAUUUUCUCUCAACUUUCCUACAAAUUUCAGCUACUCCUCCUACUUUACCUCGGAUAUCCUCAUUCCUAAUCUUAUCUUAUCUUUUCUCGUGUGCCCACACACCAUCCAACGAAGCAUCCUCAUCUCCGCUACACUCAUUUUAUGUACGUGUUGAUGCUUCACCACCCAACAUUCUGUGUCCAUACAACAACAUCACCGCCUUAUUGUCGUCCUAUAAAAAUUUUCCCUUAAGCUUCAGUGGCAUACGGCGGUCACACACCAGACCGGAUGCACUCUUCUCCACUUCAUCCAUCCAGCUUGUAUUCUAUUGGUUGAGAUCUAUCUUUCUCCGUUCUUUUGCAAGAUAGAUCCUAAGUAGCGAAAACGAUCGCUCUUUGGUAUUUCCUGAUCUCCGAUCUCACCCUAUUGGCAUUCUCCUCCAUUUGCACUGUCCAUUACUUGCCAUCCUUUAUAUUCUGUCUUUGAUCGGCUUAGGCGAAGACCUUUAGAUUCCAACACUUCUCUCCAAAGGUUAAGCUUCGCAUUUACUCCUUCCUGAGUUUCAUCUAUCAGCACUAUAUCGUCUGCGAAAAGCAUACACCAAGGAAUAUCAUCUUGAAUACGUCAUGUUAACUCAUCCAUUACCAACGCAAAAAGGUAAGGACUUAAGGAUGAGCCUUGAUGUAAUCCUACAAUUAUGGGGAAGCUUUCGGUUUGUCCUUCAUAAGUUCUUACGGCAGUUUUUGCUCCUUCAUACAUAUCCUUUAUAGCUUGGAUAUAUGAUACUCGUACUCCUUUCUUCUCUAAAAUCCUCCAAAGAAUGUCUCUUGGGACCCUAUGAUACGCUUUUUCCAAAUCUAUAAAGACUAUAUGUAAAUCCUUUUUCCCAUAUCUAUAUCUUUCCAUCAAUCUUCGUAAGAGAUAGAUUGCCUCCAUGGUUGAGCGCCCUGGCAUGAACUCGAAUUGGUUGUCCGAAACCCGUGUCUCUGGCCUCAAUCUAUGCUCAAUGACUCCCUCCCAGCGCUUCAUUGUAUGACUCAUUAGCUUAAUACCCCUAUAGUUCAUGCAGUUUUGUACGUCGCCCUUAUUCUUGUAGAUAGGCACCAAAGUGCUCUUUCGCCACUCAUUUGGCAUCUUCUUCGUUUUCAAAAUCCUAUUGAAAAGGUCAGUGAGCCAUGCUAUACAUGUCUCUCCCAAGACUUUCCACACUUCGAUCGGUAUAUCGUCUAGGCCCACUGCUUUUCAAUGCUUCAUUUUCUUUAAAGCUACAACCACUUCUUCCUUCCUGAUUCGACGAUAAAAGGAGUAGUUUCUACACUCUUUUGUGUUACUCAACUCCCCUAAAGAAAUACUCCUUUCAUGUCCUUCAUUGAAAAGAUUAUGAAAAUAACAUCUCCAUCUGUCUUUGACCGCGUUCUCUGUAGCAAGAACAUUUCCAUCCUCAUCCUUGAUGCACCUCACUUGGUUUAGGUCCCUUGUCUUCUUUUCCCUUGCUCUAGAUAGUUUAUAGAUAUCCAACUCUCCUUCUUUGGUAUCUAGUCGCUUAUACAUAUCGUCAUAAGCCGCUAACUUAGCUUCUCUCACAGCUUUCUUCGCCUCUUGCUUCGCUCUUCUAUACCUUUCACCAUUUUCAUCAGUCUUGUCCUUGUAUAGGGCUUUACAACACUCCUUCUUAGCCUUCACCUUUGUUUGUACCUCCUCAUUCCACCACCAAGAUUCCUUUUGGUAUGGAGCAAAGCCCUUGGACUCUCCUAAUACCGCUUUUGCUACUUUUCGUAUACAACUAGCCAUGGAAUCCCACCUUUGGCUAGCUUCCCCUUCUCUAUCCCACCCACAUUGGGUGAUUACUUUCUCUUUGAAAAUGGCUUGUUUUCUCCUUUUAGAUUCCACCAUCUAAAUGAAACUAAAAUUUUAAAAAAAAAUCCAAAGUGAAUAGAAAAAAAUUCCAAAGCAACGAUCUCUACCAACUCUUGCUGCCGCUAUUCGAUGUAGAGCACCUCCACCCAUCUUAUUUUGUCAUGGCAAGGUGCCAAAACCACUCCAAAACACACAUAUUAUGAGCCUUGGUAAUUGGUUGUCAUUUCUUGGGCCAUGACAGUUCUAGCCCAAGCCAAGCCAUGGCAGGAUGACGUCAUGUUGCAUUGAGUCAAGUCAAAAAGCUGGAAAUACAACGAUCUUUGCCACAUCGCACCUUUUUUGCCCUUCAGUUCAAAUAGUACUUAAAUUCAACAAUCUCGAAUCUUUCAUAAAUUAAAAAAAGAAAAUCAUUUAAAAUUUUAAUUAUAUAUUUCAAAUAAAAAAUUUCCAUUUUUUCACUAAAAAUAAAAUAUGAACACAUGGUGCAGCUAUAGAGAAGAAACAAUCCAGUUAAGCAAUUGAUAUGUCAAGAACGACCUAACAGAAGCUUUCAUUAAGCGCCUUCAAAUGAUUGUUUGAUCGUUGGUCAUACGUACCAGCUUUUGAUCACUGCUUAGGGCCAUGCAAUAUUGCACGUAGCAAUGUUGGUCUGCCUAAGGCCCGACGCGAUCCAACCAUAUAGCACAUUUCAGUUCGUUACCGGAUAAGAACCCAGCAUAUCACAUCUGCGCGUUUUUAGUUGUGCAUUCUAUAUGCCAAUUGCGCUGCCCUUACGUACUAAAUGGGUCCUCAAAGAAAGAUAGGAACCUAUGUCGGUUAUGAUUCUCUUUUUAUUAUUUGUUACUUAAAACCUUUGACAGGCGAUCUCCUUACCACUCGUUUUGCAGAUUGUUACUUCUGCGAGACAGUCUUUCCGUCGUUAGGGGGAGAUAAGAAUGUCAAUGUUCCUGAAUAACGACGUGAAUUAUUGUGGACGACUCCCACUUUGUCUCAUUUAGAGCCAUGCACCGCCCUGUCUGAGAUUGAAAUGCGAUGCAUUCUAGAUCUUCAGAACGUAGCUUAGGGCAUACCAGAUGCUUUCACUGAUCUAGCGAAAGUGACGAGAUCAUAUAUACCAUCUGCAAACGUGCCUGCAAAGAUGGAUGUACCAAAUGUAUGACGGGUUUCCCUCUUGGAAGGCCGGGACGCCCCCGUGGCUGACCCACGUACAUUGGCAGCUAACCAAUCAUCUACUCCUACCCACAAGUGUGACAGACCUCUUGGUUCAAAGGAUUCACAAAUCCAGAAGAGGAAAUCCACGACACAUGCUGUUGAGCCUACCGUGAAUCUAACUAUCGCCUAAUCAUUCUAUCCAACGCAUGAGGAAAUUAUAGAUUAUGGAAGCAUCAUGGAAGACACGAAUCCACCUGCAAAGAAUUGAAAGAUUUCGAUCCAUUAUACUAGCUUGGAUGAUGUUUGGUAUAGAAAUGAGAUGAUAAUUGACGAUGCAUUAGCAUAUGUAGUAGCUACUGAGAUCAUGUUAAGCGAUGACAUUAAACCUUGUUUUGUUGAUGAAUGUCGAUGUAGAACUGAUUGGUCCAACUGGAAAUAAGCAAUUGAAGUCAAACUUGAUUCUCUUGCGAAACACGAGGUGUUUGGGCCUGUAGUUCCUACACCGCAACAUGUGAUGAUAAUCAAGAUUGUUUGAUUAAAGCAAAUCAGUCACGAAUCAAGACAAACUCAAGCCUUGGUUCUUUCAUCAAUUAAAGUUAUUUGGCACACGAAUCAAGUCCAAAUCAAGUCUUGUUUCUUUUGUCAAUCAAAAUAAUUUGGUCAAAUUAAUUGAUUUGGUUCAAAUCAAGUCUCGACGUGGAGAAGCCUAUAAAUACGAGGCUCGAAGACAAAGCAAAGAUGGCAAAGACACACCGGGUCCAAACGGUUCCAAAAAAAAAAAAAAAGCGUGGAGACAAUUUUGACAGCAUCAAACUAGUGGAUGCAAACCACUUAAAGUCAGUGGAGAACCACAUAAUAUUAGUAUAUGCAAACCACUUAAAAUUAAUGGGUCGAAUUCCCGUUAAUUACUAUACUAGUCAAAAUGGCACAAAGCCGUUCCAAAUCCCAUGUGGCACAAAGCCGCAUCCAAGUUCGCAAUUUGGAACUAUGUUGGUUUGAUACCACAAAGGGUGUGUAGGCAAUCUAGUAUUAAAUUCUAGACACACCACAACGAAACCCCAAUCUAAGCAGAUAAACGCUCUUGUGUUCUUCAACAAGCUCGCAGAGAAUCAACAAGUGCAACAAAAUCAUGCCAAUUCAUCCACCACCAAAGCCUAAGAUCAAACAUUGACAACCCUUGAAGUAAUCACAAUCUUAAUACAGGAUCAAGUGUUCACCACUCUUAAAUUGAAUUCUACUUUGGAGUUUGAAUCAAAGGAUUAUUCUUCUAAAAGAAUAGCUACGUAGAGAUUGUAACCCUAAGCACUCAUUAAUACAAAUCCAUUAUUUGUAAUGUGUGCUUUUGUUAUUUGUCAUUUUGUGUUUACAAUUUGGCAUACCUGGUGGGACUAUCUCUGCCUCUCAUCUCUUUCUCCAAGUGAGUCAACUCCAAUCCAAGCAAUGACGUUGAAGAAGGCUCAAGUUACAUCCAUGAAUCUAGGUAAGAAUGUGAUUGGUUUCAUAACAAGGUGCGACCUUGUAGGCAUCGUCUCACAAAGCAAGACGAGGGCAUCCCUCUCAACCCAACACACCGCUCCAACGGUGUUUCCACUUAUAUGACAUGGAGUUUGCCACAAGAAUCUAUUGUCCAUCAUCUCUGUGACUCAGAGCGAGUUGGAGGCUUUAGCCCAACAAACUGAUGUCAUGGGGCAUUCGUCCAAGAUGCACAUAGUACAUCAAAAGAACAAGUCGGUUAUUUCCUUUGCUUCGUUGUGGAUGAAAAAGCUUAUAUCUCGAAGCAAUGAAAGAUGCCCGCCCAUAACUAAGGAUUCAAUAGUGCGGUCAUCCUUCCUUGCUUGUAAUGUGUACUCAAAAUAGGUUCAUGCCAAGUGCUUUAGCCAUCAACCACUCCUUGCACGCACGAGUUAAAACUAGUUGAUUAUUUGAGGAAUCAAAUCGGGUACGACUCAAGUCCAAAUCAAGUUUUAAUUCUUUGUCAAUUAAACUUAUUCGGCACACGAUUAAGUCCAAAUCAAGUCUUGGUUUUUUUAUCAAUCAAAAUAAUUUGAUCAAAUUGCCAAAAUAGUUAAAACAUAUAAUAAUAAUAUACUUUAUUUUUAUUUAUAAUCUCUCCUACUUUCACUCUCUCUCCUGUCCCCCAUUUUCUCCGCCGCUAUUCCUCCCUCAUCUCAACUUCACUGGAUCUUCGAGAGCAACCCCGUCGUCAGUGGUCGCAUGGCCACCGUCAACAUCUCCACCCACACCUUCGAGGCCGGCGCCUCCAUUCUCCACCCCAGGAACUUGCACUCUUUGAACUACACCAAGCUCCUCAACCUCGCCGUCAAAAGCCCCUCCUCCUCUUCCGCGCUUCAAAUCAAAGCUUCCCUUUGCUGAUAAGAUUGUUUUGCUUCCAAUUCACUGCUCAUGCUCUUCAGAUACGGCUUCUCCCUUGUCAGGAUGGACAAAUUUGUUGAGGUAUAAAAGUAAAUAAAUAAAAGGUUUGUUUAUUGGGUUUAACUUAGCGUUUUGUUGUUGAAUUUGGUAAAUUUCUUUGUGUGGUGCAGAUAAGAUUGUUUGGCAUCUUAUUAAUUUAUUGGGUGUUAAUUUGGUGAAGUCCUUGCCUAUGAGAAUCAUCAAUCCUGCUACUGAAGAAAUCAUGGUCCUUUUCUCACCCUAAGCAUUUCUGUCAAUUAAAUUAAUUUCUGGGUUGUUUUCUAAAUUUAAUUACUGUUUAAUCAUCGCAUUUGAUCGUGUGUAGGAUCUAGAAGAAGGAGAGGGAUAGUCGUUGGUGCAGUGGUGGUGGUCGGUGUUGAGCAGGAGUGGGAGGGACGGCGGCGGUCCUAGGGGUCUGAUGCGGCGGGAGAACGAGGGAGUAGGAAAGAGAUCCUUCCAGUUUGUAACAGGGACAAGGACGCAUUUUGUAAAACUAGCGAGGGUGUAGGAGAGUUUCAUUGAACAUGCACUGUUCCUCUGUAUGUUAUGGAAAAAGGCUAGAUUUUCAAACCAAUGUUUCGCUGCUUCAGCUUUUAGUCUUUUUAUUCACCCUCAAUUUAAAAAAGCUGGUUUUAGAGUAUUUACCAAACCCUAAAAAGACCGCAACUUUUUUUCAUACCUGCAUAUUUUUUUUUUUAAAUUUCAGCAGUACCAAACUGGUACUAAGAGCCCCAGACUUUCUUUAAUUACACUAUAUUUGUGUUACACCUUUACAAGAGUGGUAUUUAAUCAAUCACAUAAACAUGUACCUAACAAAUAAUAUAGGGCAUUCAAUAUGGAUAUGAAAAACUGCAACAAAUUUCAAUGUUAAUCCAGGUGUGUGUAGGAGCGAUAUGUUUGUAACUACCUCCAGGGUAUAUGUAAGAUGGCUUAUCAGAAAUUGGAAACCAAAAUAGCUCCCUUAAUUGAUUAGGGGCUAUAUCUAUGAUGGCUUAUCAGAAUUUUUUAUCUAUACUUAUGCUUUGCACUUCGAAAACUAGCUAGUUAUUUCUCUUUGAUUUUGUUAUUAUAUCUUGUUGUAUUUCUUGGGUAUUUAAUGUUCUUCACAAUAUUCACUUUACAAAGUUCAAGCUCUAGUCAAAUUUGAUUUACUCAUCCUUCUGUUCUAAACGCAGGUUUUCUAUUGUUCGUACUCUUUUGUUUUGGUAAGAGCUUUGCUAAUAUCUAUGAUAUCCAAUAUUGAGCAUAUAGUUUGAUCCAAGGCAACAAGUCAAUUUCUUUUCUCAUGAUGUAUUUUGUGAUUUACUCCAAUGUUCAGGACUACUUUUCGGGGUAAAAUUUCUAUUCGGGGCACCAUUCGUGACUGCGUUUUUGAUCUAUACAUGGAAAAGAAGACAUUUGUCAAUGUACAACUCCAUAGAAGAAUUUUUGCAUGGUGAAAAGACUUUAGUGCCAAUAAGGUACUCGUACUCGAACAUCAAGAAGAUGUCUAACAAAUUUAAAGAAAAACUUGGUGAAGGAGGGUAUGGAUCAGUUUUUAAAGCAAGGUUACGGAGUGGACGUUUUGGGGCAAUUAAGAUGUUGGAUAAGCCCAAAGGCAAUGGACAAGAUUUCAUCAGCGAGGUAAAUACUAUUGGGAGGAUUCACCAUGUUAAUGUGGUUCAGCUUGUUGGUUAUUGUGUUGAAGGAACAAAGCAUGCUUUGGUAUAUGACUUCAUGCUCAACGGAUCUCUUGAUAAAUACAUUUAUUGCAAAGAAGGAAGUAUCCCAUUAAGUUGCAAGACAACGUACGAGAUUUCUCUUGGAGUGGCUCGAGGGAUCAAAUAUCUACAUGAAGAUUGUGACAUGCAAAUAUUACAUUUUGACAUCAAGCCUCACAACAUUCUUCUUGAUGAGAAUUUCAUACCGAAGAUUUCUGACUUUGGGCUUGCAAAAUUAUACCCGGUGGAUAAUAGUAUUGUAUCUCUAACAGCAGCAAGGGGUACAAUGGGAUACAUGGCUCCUGAGCUAUUCUACAAGAAUAUUGGCGGUGUUUCGUUUAAAGCCGAUGUUUAUAGUUUUGGAAUGUUGUUGAUGGAAAUGGCAAGCCGAAGGAAGAAUUUGAAUGCAUUGGCAGAGCAUUCAAGCCAACUUUACUUCCCUUCAUGGGUUUACAAUCAAUAUAAUGAAGGAAAGGACUUCGAGGUGGGAGAAGUUGUGGAGGAGGAAAAACCAUUAAUAAGAAAAAUGAUUAUAACCGCCUUGUGGUGUAUACAAUUGAAGCCAAGCGAUCGACCUUCAAUGAAGGAAGUCCUACAGAUGCUCGAAGGAGAUGUUGAAUUACUUCGAAUGCCUCCGGAGCCUCUUCUAUAUCCCAAGAGAUGCCCGUAGGUGCUCCUAAUGAUAAUCCGAAUCCAACAUAUUCGAAGGUGGAGUUAACAUCUUCUUUGACGGGUAGGUGAAGACACGCAACUAGCAUGGACUCUGUCAGUUUGAAUCUCAAUGCAAUGUUUCUGGUUUUGUAGUAGUACUGUGUGCAUGAUAAAACCCCCUUUCAUUGAUGUUAAAUAUGUUUAGUACAACAUAUUUUCAUGAUUCCAGGGAUAAAUAACAUAUUUCAUGGAGGACAUGUUGUAUGAUUCAUGAAGACGAUAUUUUCUAAUUUUUGUUCCAAGAAAUUAUUAGUUGUGAUGAUUGUUCGCUCGUGCUGAUAAUUCUGGUUCUAAUGGGCUCAUGCCGGCUGCUCUUACAUAUCUCCGGUUGUUAUUUGUCCGUGGAGGGAGGGACCUCCCUAGUCAAUAUCGAAAACAUUUUUUUUCUUGUGAAUACAACGAUAUAUUUACACUAAGGGGGAGUGGGUCGCCUAAGCCAUACAAUGGACAAUCUAAUUUGCUAUCCAAUUUGUCAUCUACAAGAUUUAAACUUAAGAUCUCUCACUUGCAAGUGAAGAGGAAUAUCAUCAUAUGUAGUAUUGAGUGGCAAUAUUCGAAACCUUUUAGUUGGGUGGCAAUAUUCGAAACCUUUUAGUUUGCCAAGUCAUUUCUUGGUUAGAAGUUUUUUAAGAAAGUUGAGGUUCCACCCCAAAAUCAAUUGGCAAUAUGAGAGUAGUCUAAUUACUUAUAAGUACAUGUAAGGUCCCUUCUUUCUCUAAUGUGGAAUUCACUUUCAAAAAAUAUUUUGUCUGAGAAUCCCUCCUUUUGUAUUUGAAAUGCUGCCUGCUCUGUACUGUGCAACCAGUUUAUAGCCUUGGUGGAGGACUUAGCCUUCUCAUUAUAAUUUCCUAUGAUACUUGAACGUAAUGUCUAUCACUUGCUGGAGCAUCAUUGUAAUUGUAAGCCAAAUGGAAGAUUUGUUGAUCACAGCCUUGGUGAAGAUAUUCAAUUCCUUUGGCAAAUGGCUAGAUCUUGCAUCCCAACCAAGAAAUUUGUUGUUAUUGUCUGCUGAUGAAAUGAAAUCAUGCAGUGAUCUAUUGAACAGCAGUUCGUCUAAAUCCAUAAACGCAGAAGCCAACCAAGGGAAUAGCAUGGUUGAUAUGACCCAUUGUUCCCCCUUUAUUUAUGAACUCUUCUCCAUCUCCCCUUCCAAUUGUAUAAUAUCAUAUGGUUUACCAUAUCGUAUUUCGGUCACAAGUGAGAUAAUUAAUCUCAAUUCGAACUUAGCGAUUAAUAUAAUGAUAAUUUUUUUUUCAUGAUCAGGAUUUUCAGCCUGGAGAGACAGUAAGAAGUUUGCCACACUGCCAUAACAUAUUUCACCUGCCUUGUAUAGAUAAGUGGCUCCUAGGGCAUGCCUCAUACCCUCUCUGCGUAAGGGAUUUGUGAAUGUGAUGAUCUUCUUGUAGAUUACCAAAUGAGUAAAAAGUUCAUUUAUUGAUUAUACAAAUUUUUUAUCCUUUUCAUUUGUAUUGGUAUUCACCAGACUGCUCUAGGAUGAGCAAAAUACUCAUAGGUUUGGGUAACCAUGUUUACCCGUCCAUUUAAAGUUCACGGUUAUGGUUAUGGGUAACCAUUUAGACGAACAAACGGUUAUGAGUAUAACCGUUUAUUUUUGAAAUUUAAAUGGGCUGUUAUGGAUAUUACCGACUGUUAUAAUGGGUAUCUAUUGGUUAUGGGUAUUAUCCACGAUUAUACGGGUAUCCAUUUACCUAUUUAAUUUAAUAUAUAUAAAAAUAAAAAUAAAAUUAUCGCAGGGAUUUUGAGGGGUUUUAGAAGUAGCUCCUAUCGCAGGGAUUUUGAGGGAUUUUAGAAGUAGGCUCUCUCUCUCUCUCUCUCUCUCUCUCUCUCUCUCUCUCUCUCUCUCUCUCUCUCUCUCUCUCUCUCUCUCUCUCUCUCUCCCUCUCCCUCCUCUGGUCCUGACCCUCUCCUUCCCAGCUCCACUGCAGGGAUUUUAAUUAUCACAGGGAUUUUGGGUAUGCUAAAAUUCUAAGUACAGGUUCAUGGUGUAGGCUCCGGCCAUGAACUCUUUCUUGCAAAGUGCAAAUGCAAUAACAACAUAUAUAUAUAUAUAUAUAAAUACAAAUUACACAAUAUAAUUAAUCAAUUAAAAUACACACAAUCAUCCAGUUGAUCUGGUCACCAUGUCUGUAUGUGCUAUCAAUAGAACAUUUGUGACUUGCCAUCUUGAUAGUUGAUACGAUGAUAUAUCACUUUGUGAAUAUGAUCUCGUAAACUAUCAUUUCAAUUAUUGAAAUUGUAUGAGGACUUGAAUGAUUAAAAUAUAGAAAUGCAUGCUAAAAUGUACCUAUAACGGUGCUUAAUUGUCAGAAAACGAAAAUUAUGAUAAAUUUUUCUUUUGUAAUUUUCAAGUUGUUAGAAAAAAAACAUGUAGACGGAUGAAAAAGGGUAAAUGGGUAAAAAAAAAGAAGGAUAAAUAGGUUCAAAAACGGGUAAUUGGUUAUGGUUAUGGUUAAAUGGGUAAAUGGUUAUGGUUAAAUAGGUACAUGGUUAUGGGUAUGGAUAACCAUUUAUAAACGGUUAUGGUUAUGGGUAUAACCGUUUAUGCAAUUAUCUAACAGAUAAAUGGUUAUGCGGGUAUGAAUAUAAACGGUUAUGGGUAAAUAACUACAGUUACCUACCCGCCAUAAUCGUUGCUCAUCCCUAGAUUGCUCCAGUAGCUGCAGGUUGGUUCAUUGGAACUGAUUAUUUUGGUUUUGGCACAAUCUGAUAUUUAAUGUGGUAGUAUGUGAUACUAAUAACACACUAUUUUUGAAACCGAAAACCAAAAUAAUUCACACUAUUUCUAGAACUACAACGAAAUAACCCUCACUAUUUCUGAAACUGAAUCAAAAUAAUCAUUGGAAACUACAAUAAAAUAACCCCCACUAUUUUUGAUACUUGUUGUAUUGAUGGUUUUGUUGGGUUUUUAGUUCUUUGAUGAUUUUUUAUUGUAAAUGGCUUCUCAUCAGAAAUUAUUAAACACCGGAUUUGCUAUUUUGGUUGCGUAGCUAUGCAGUUGCUCUCUCCAAUCCAUCUAUCAGUCCACUUGAUUGCUUGGAAUAAUUUGAAGGUAGUUAAUUAAAUUACUUUGCUUCUUUUUCGAUCGACUAUAUAUAUUAGUGCUAGUUGCCUUGGUUAAGACUUUGAACCAGGGUUGGAUGAAGUGAUGGAGGGAGGCAGACAAUGGUGACAUACGGUGGGGAUGGGCGGAGGGGUCGGAUGACGGGUCGUGGACUAAGAAAACGGUGCCCAUUAGUGCUCCCUUGCCUAAGACUUUAAGGGCCCUGACAGUCACCAGCGAGAUCGAGCUCCGGCGAGGUUGGAUGGUGAAUGCGGGGAUAUGGAAAAUGCAGAAAGUGAUUUAAAUUUUUUUUUAUUAUUAAUAUAAUUCUUGUCGAUUUUAUCCGACAGGAAAUGCUUUUAUUUGUUCAUUAGUAAUUUAUUCCUGUCGGUUUUAUCCGACAUGAAAUGGUUUUAUUUGUGCAUUUUUAAUUAAUUUCUGUCGAAUGGUUUAAUCAUUUUCUGUCGGUUUUAGCCGACAAAAAUAAUUUAUUUAUCCGACAUAAUUUCUGUCGAUUUUAGAGUAUUUUCUGUCGGAAAAUUAAUUUCCUGACGCAGGCAAUUCUGUCACUUAUUAUAUCCGCCACUGCAUCCAUUUUCUGUCAGAUUUUACUUAAAAUUCGACAUAAAUAUAUGUUUUUUGUCGGUUUUCAAAACGUCAUUAAUAACUGGUUUCCUAGUAGUGUCAGUUGGGCAUGGAACCGUUAAUUGUACAUCUCAAAUUUCACUUUCUUUGUAACCAUAAUUUCUGACAUUAAAGGAAAAACUGUACAAAUCAUUCUCACCACAUCCAGAAUUAGCCUACAAAUAACUCCAUAUUACACCGAUAAGUGUACCAGGGAUGGCCGUAAAUCCCAUCAUCCACUUUAGGAGAUUUUUUCUUAAACGACCAUUGGGGCAUAAUAUUUAAUUAUCACAUGGAAACAACUUUUUUUAUAAAGGAAAACUAAUGAAAAAGUCUUGAAAACUUUGAGUUUUAACGAUAAGGACAAAAUAAAGAGUAAAGUGAAUAGUAUAAGGAUUGACUUUUUAGUGUAAAAAUAUGGUUUUUCGUUAAAGUGAACAGUACCGGGAGUUUUUUGUUAAAGUUCUCUUUUUAUAAAGCAAGGGUAAGUUGCGUCCGUUAGAUAUUCACCUCGACCUUCGUAAAGCGAUGAACCUUGUUGGCUAAUUAAGCAUCAUAAUGAGCUAAUAAUAAUAUGGUUUAAAUUCACCUUCGGUGAGAAUCGAACAUAAGACCUCUCAAUUACAAAUGAAGAGGAAUACCACUAGACCGUAAUACUAAGUAACAAUUUUUGAGCAAUAUUAAACAUACUACAAUGUGUGUGUAUAUAUAUAUAUUAACAAACGAUAUUAUUUAUACUAAAGGGAGGGGUUAGACUUAACCUCAUAAUAAGCUAGCAAUAAUGUGGUUUAAAUUCUCAUUUAUCAAGAAUUGAACCUAUGACCUCUCAAUUACAAGUGAAAAAGAUUACCACUAAUUAUUCGGAUAUUAAAUAUACAAUGCACUUGUCCUAAAUUAAUUAAUAUAAGAGACCUUUUGAUAUAAUUGAUAAAAAAAAAAAAAAAGGUAGCCGAUCUGCGACGAUUCCUUUAUCUCUUUCCCCUAUCUGUGAAAUCCCAACCCUAGCCCCAAUUUCUGAAACUCUCCAUCUCUCUCCUCCAUGCCCUUUCUAUCUGCUUUCUCGGUUACUCCUGUUGUGGUUCAUGAUGUUGUUCAAGCCAACGUGUCUUUGACAGCUGUGAGUGGAUCGAAAUUCAGAAAUCUCAUAUCUACUUUCUGAGUGGCUCGCCUACUACUAUAUUAAGUGGGUCCUACAUAUAUUUUUAUUAGAAAAUUAGAUUUUAAUCCCUAAAUAAGAAGAAGUUUAGAAAAAUGUUUUAUACAAGAUUAAAAAUUGAUUUUAGUCCCUAGACUCUAUUUAAUGCCAACAAUUGUUUUUAAUGUCUCUUUUUUUAUUUAUAAUUUUAUGAAUUUAAAUUUUAUGAAAAUAUGAUAAAUUUUAAUUCUCAUUAUGGUAAACAUCUUAUAUAAGAAAAUAUUUUCGUAGAAAUUUUUCGGUACACUUAUGUUUUUGCAUAUUUUCUUAUCUGCCACUAAUUCAUUACAAUAUAUUUAGGUACGAACAUUUCGGUACACUGGGUUAGUAUAAUAUGUUUAGGUACAUACAUUUCAGUACACUAGUUUAGUAUAAUGUAUUUAGGUAUCAACAUUUCGGUACACUAGUUUAGUAUCAUAUAGUUAGGUACAAAAUUUUUGGUACACUUAUGUUUUUAUGUCACAUCCCGGCCCGAGUCCUCACCACAUCCCAAGCUCGACUUCACCGUAGCACUAUAUUGUCCACUUUGGGCAUCGACCAUACCCUUACGGUUUUGUCUCUGGGAACUCACACGAGAACUUUCCAAUGGGUCACCUAUCAUGGGAUUACUCUCGCGCGAACUCGCUUAACUUCGAAGUUCCAAUGGAACCCGAAGUCAGUGAGCUCCCAAAAGGUCUCAGGUAGAGAUGAGAAUAUAUAUAUAAGGCAUAGAUAAUCCACUCCCCUGGGCGAUGUGGGAUCUUACAAUCCACCCCCUUAGGGGCCCGACGUCCUCUUCGGCACACUUCCAGCCAAAGAUUGGCUCUGAUACCAAAUUGUCACAUCCCGGCCCAGGCCCCCACCACAUCCCAGAUUCGACUCCACCGUAGCACGAUAUUGUCUUCUUUGGGCCCCAACCACAUCAUCACGAUUUUGUUUUUGGGAGCUCACAUGAGAACUUCCAGUGGGUCACCCAUCAUGGGAUUGCUCUCAAGCAAACUCGCUUAACUUCAGAGUUUCUAUGGAACUCGAAGCCAGUGAGCUCCCAAAAGGUCUUGUGCUAGGUAGAGAUAAGAAUAUACAUAUAAGGCAUAGAUGAUCCACUCCCCUGAGUGAUGUGGGAUCUCACAUUUUACAUAUUUUCUUAUGUGUCACUAAUUCACUACAAUAUGUUUAGGUACGAGCAAUUCAGUAUACUAAUUUAGUAAAAUGUAUUAUGAUACAGACAUUUAGGUACACUAAUUAGAUAAGGUUAAAUACAAUUAAUGAAUUAAAAUGUGUAUAAUAAUAAAUUAAAAAAUUCAAUGUAAUAACAUUAAAUAAAGAAAAUUGUUAUUAGCACUCAAAAAAUCUCAUUCUAUACUACUUACAAAUGUAUUUAUCUUUCUAAUUAUGAAAGUUUGAAGUACCAAAUGAGAUUUUAGGAUGCUAAUAAUAAUUCCUUAAAUAAAUUAUCUAUUAUAUACAAAAACAAAAAUAUAAUAUGAAUUUGAAUUAGGUACACAUUAAGGGAUUAAAACCAAUAUUCAAUCUAAUACCAUAAUUUUAUUAAAUUUUAAUCUUCUUGAAAAUUUAAAGUUCAUAAACCCCUAUUUUUAUUCCUCCAAUGUUAGCAAACACUUCAAUCACUGGAAGAAGUGCAAUUCCAAUUUCUUACAUUCAAUUCCCCUUACGUAAACACGUUAUUAAUCAGGUCAACAUGCAAGGAGGAGGGAGAGUUUGAAAAGAAAAAAAAGGGACGGAAAAAAGAAAUGGGACAGAAAAAAUAGAGAGAAAAUGUCUUGAUGGAAAGAAGAAAAAAGAAAAAAAAACAAAGAGAAAGAGGAGAGAGAGAGAGAGAGUCUGAUUGAAGGAAGAAAAAUAAGAGAAAAAGAAGAGAAAAAAAAAAGGGAAAGGAAGAAAAGGGAAAGGAAGAGAGAGACAUAUGUAGAGAAGAAAAAGAGAGAAGGAAGAGAGAACAGGACCGAAAAAAAAAAAGAGAAAGGGACGGAAAAAAAAAGCAAAGAAAAAGGAGAGAAAAAGAGAGGGAAGAGAGGAGGGGACCAGAAAAAACAGAGAAAAGACGGAAAAAAAAAAGCAAAGAAAAAGGAGAGAGAAUCUGCUGGAAAGAAGAAAAAGAAGAGAUAAAAAUGAGAAAAAGGGGCGGACAAAAACAAAGAGAAAGGAAGCAAGAGAGAGAGAGAGAAUGAAGGAAAGAAGAAAAAGAAGAGAGAAGGACGAAAGAAAGGGAGGGGAAAAAGAGUUUGAUGGAAAGAAGGAAAAAAAAGAUGAGGAAGAGAGAAGGGGACGGGAAAAAAACAAAGAGAAAGGAAGAGAGAGUUUGAUGGAAUAAGAAAAAGAAGACAGAAGGAAGAGAGAAAGGACGGAAAAAAUGGGGAAAGGACGAGAGCAUGAUGGAAAGAAGAAAAAGAAGAGCUACGGUGCAUGGAAAAAAGAAAAAAACCAAAGAGAAAGAUGAGAGAGAGAGAGAGAGUCUGAUGGAAGGAAGAAAAAGAAGAGAAAAAGAGACAUAUGUAGAGAAGAAAAAGAGAGAAAGAAGAGAGAACAAAAAGAAGAGAAAAAGAGACAUAUGUAGAGAAGAAAAAGAGAGAAGGAAGAGAGAACAGGACCGAAAAAAAAAGGAUCGGAAAAAAAAAAGGAAAACUAAUAAAAAGGGAUUGAAAAUUUUGAGUUUUAAUGAUAAAGAUAAAAUAAAGGGUAAAUUGAAUAGUAUCAAGAUUGACUUUUUAGUGUAAAAAUGUGGUUUUUCGUUAAAGUGUAAAAAAAAAAGAACGGAAAAAAAAGGCAAAGAAAAAGGAGAGAGAAAAAGAGAGGGAAGAGAGAAGGGGACCAGAAAAAACAGAGAGAAAAGACGGAAAAAAAAAGCAAAGAAAAAGGAGAGAGAGAAUCUGCUGGAAAGAAGAAAAAGAAGAGAUAAGAAUGAGAAAAAGGGGCGGACAAAAACAAAGAGAAAGGAAGCAAGAGAGAGAGAGAGAGAGUGAAGGAAAGAAGAAAAAGAAGAGAGAAGGACGAAAGAAAGGGAGGGGAAAAAGAGAGAGAGAGUUUGAUGGAAAGAAGGAAAAAAAAAAGAUGAAGAAGAGAGAAGGGGACGGGUAAAAAACGAAGAGAAAGGAAGAGAGAGUUUGAUGGAAUAAGAAAAGAAGAGAGAAAGGACGGAAAAAAUGGGGGAAAGGACGAGAGCAUUAUGGAAAGAAGAAAAAGAAGAGCUACGGUGCAUGGACAUGAUGGUAUUAUUCCUGUGUCGCAUUUUUUUGGUCAUAAAAUAAUUUCUUUUGUUAAUUUGACGUAUACUCGUAUCAUGUUCUGUCAUAAUUCUGUGUCCGCAACCAUGCAUCAUAAAAGAACAAAGAAGGAAGAUAAAGGGAUGGAGGAAGGAAGAGUGAGAGAGAGACAGAGAACCGCUGCAGUUGUUCAGAAAGUGGUGGGUUGAGUUUUUAUUUUUGUGAAAUGAUUAGUUAAUAAAAUCUUUGAGAUUUAACAAAGAUUUAAUAUUUAUUGUUGGAGAUGCUCGAGUCAUCAGAAAUGGACAAUACUUAGUACUGACUGUUGAGUACCCAAAAUAUUGACCUAAUGACAUGCCUAGAAAUAUUAAAACAUCUUUCAUUUAAAGCUCUCCCCAAACAUUUGUGGUCUUGUUAACCAAACACCUAACUUUCAUCCUGAGCUCAUAACCAAACACCCAUCUUCUUCCUAUUUGUUUGAGUAAAUUAUAGUUGUGAUCCCUAAACUAUGACUGAACUAUGGUACCUCAAUUAAAAAUUUAUUAGUUUUGGUUCUUUAAUUUGACAAAAGGUGUAACAUUGGUCAUUCCAUGCUAACUAUUAAGUUUUCUGUCAAAAUGAUGACAUGGUAGGCACAUGGAACCCAUGAUUAAUAUUAUAAUAUGAAAAUUUAAAACAUAGAAAAUUAAAAAAAAAAAAAUCCUUUAUCUCCUUCACUAGUAACAAUGACGCCAACACCAAACCUUGUACUUAAUUUUCUCUAUCCUACAAACCUCGUACCCAAUUCCCUCUUCAAAAUCCAAUCAGAACUUUAAUACCAAAACUCAUCGCAAGCAUCAUACCCACCGCUACAUUUGGUGCAGGAUUGGUUAUAGAAUGCGACUGGAAUGUUGGGGGUGGGACUACGAUGGUGAAGGGUCGGUUGUGGCGUGCGGUUGAGAGAGAUAAAAAAGUGAGUGUUGCGAAUUGGGGAAGAUAGGGCUGGACACGGGUUGGGCCGGGCCCGAUUUUGAAAGGAUCAGACUAGACUCAGGUGCAAAAGAGACUGGCGGGGUCGGAGAUAACAUAUUUUAAUAAAGGAACCGGACCUAACCCGGCCUGGUUGAAAUGAGCUGGGGCCACAAGUCCUUUUUUUUUUUUUUUUUUUUUUUUGCGAAACUGCCACCUUCUUCGACAUCUCCACCUCCCUCCUCCAAGGCUAUGCCAUCCUCGCAAUCCUUGCAGCAAAAAUGCAGAGAAAAUUAGCAAAACCCAGAUUGGGGGUUGGGGCUAAAAGCUAAAAAUGCAUGAUUUGUGGAAAACCUAGCUGGGAUUAAGAACUUGAAGAAGAAGAAGCAGAAUGUUUGGGGAGAGAGAGGGAGUCCCGACCCUCUACGUCACCUACGACCACAACAUCCAUUCUGCCAACCCUUUUAGCCGACGCCACGAGCGAGUCCCGAUCAAGCCCUUCUACAACUCAAUGAACUCACCCAUCGAUUUCGUCCCUGCUGUCAACUUCCUUGACGACCGCUACUUCUCUGACGUUGACGAAAAGAUUGAGGCAAGGAGGGAGACGUUGAGCGGUCAAGCUCCCCGAUUUGAGAGGAAGGAGAUUGAGAAUCGACAGGAGAGGAAUGGGAAAAUGUUACAAACAAGCCGGUCCGGGUACCUUUUUUUUUAUACUUCUUGAACCGGCCCACCCCUAAAAUUUCAAAGCCCCGCCCUGCCCUGCCUUGUUUCUCUUUUUAAAAAUUAAAAACCAGCCCGUAUCCUCCUCGAACUGUAAUUACCCGCCCCAAACUGUGAUUACCUGCCCCGACCCACGGUUCAUGUACCUAUUUGCCCACCCCUAGGGGAAGAUGGAAGUAAGGCGUGAGGUAUGGUGGGACAACACCCAUCUCGAACAUUUCUUUUUAUUUUUUAUGCCAAUAGUUUAAAGUGUUUUGUUUCAAUUCUUAUAAGUGAAUAAUGUGAAUGCAAAUUUUCGCCGUUUCUUUUUUUGACAAAAAUGCACUUAUAAAAUAAUAACACAUAAGAUUAAGACCAAAAGCCUCACGCGCUUAGGUAGGCCUGGCUGGUGACAAUGCUGCUUAGGAUGGGGCAACUGUAGAUGAAGUGCAGGAGGUUGAUGUUGCUGAGAGAGAUGCGGCUGCUAAAGAUGUCCAAGUUGUUGAGGAGUAGUCUUUCUAGAUAAACUUUAGGAUUUACUGUCUUUUCCUUUCCUUUCCUUGAACUCUGUUGGCCUUCGUGCCAGUUUACCAAUUUGCUAGAAAUUAAUAAACUGUUUUUCUUCGCUUUACUUCAUUCUCAUCUUUUUGCCUUGCUUCAAACUUUUGCCGUAAAAUGAACAAUUGAGCAAGCUGCUUUGAACAAAGCAGUUAAGCACAUCUCCCUUGCUUUAGGAGCAACGUCCCAUUCAUUGCUCAAUAGUUUGGUUGACAAGUGAGAUCUCGCGGAAAUGUAAAAAAUCACUACAUAAAGAUUGUCUGUUGCAAUCUCCAAUAGUGUCAUACAUGUAAUCAUGAUUGCUCUGAGCACUCAACGAAAGAAACAUUUAGGGAAAAUUAUGUGAUGAUGUAGUUGAACCAUGUCUUAUUUUGGCACCAAUAAUCUGAGAGAUAUUCUUUUGUUUCUACUAUACUCAAUUACUUGACUAAUUUUAUAACACUUUUUAGGUGACUAAUGAGUAAAUCUAUAUAUCUAGAGGGAACAACAAAUUUGCGAGUUUAAUAAUGUCAUAGACAGAACAAGAUAUGGUUAGAUGAAACGGCAAUUUGCUCGUGGAUCCAAUAUAUAACUCAUAUUAGUGAAAAGCUGACUGUGCCACGUGCGCUUAGGCAAGUGGCUCUAUUGGGAUUAGGAUCCUAGCCCGAUCAUUUUGUAGAGAUUCGGAUGAUCAAUCAAUUGUGUUUAUUCAUCGUACAUCGUGUAAUAAUAAAAUAUUUUAAAUUUUUUAUUUAAAAUUAAAUACAAACAAUAUUUAAUGAAACUGACCGCACAAUAUACGAUGAAUGAGCAUGAUUAAUUGAUCAUCUAGAUUUUCACAAAAAGAAUAUGAAGAGGAUCCUCAUCCCUCUUAUUUACCUUGUACUAGUCAGAAAAUCCGAGUCUAUUGGAAAUUGAGUUAUUUACUUGAAAAAAGAAGAAUGAAUUGAUUUAAUUUUUUUUUUUUUUUUUUUGUCAUUAGUUAAAUUUGGGGGUGGGGGGAUUCGAACCUUGGAUGAGGUGGGAGUUUUCUUGGCUCUAGUGCCACUGCACUAGGCCUCCAUCCUCGAUUUAAUUUUUAUUGACAUGCAUACUUUAUGGGGUCAAUAGUGAUGGAUGUACCGGUCAAUGGUAAGAGUCCACUUUACUUGGACAUCUUUGCUUUAUCCCUUGCUGGUCAAUGGUAAGAGUCCACUUUUUUUUUUAAACCAGUAAGAGUCCACUUCACUUGGACAUCUUUGCUUUGAGUGGAAGACCUUGAAUCGUUCGAUUUAUAAAGACUGGAUCGAAACCUCAUGGAAAGUUUGAAAAGAAUUACGAUCUAGGCAAAAAAAAAAAAAAAAAAAAAAAGAGUGAGAGAGAGAAAAAAAUUUACACUCAAGGCACAAUGGGUUGAAGAAGAAGACCUUAUUACUAAAACAAUCCAACACUUGCCAAUAGUUUUCUUUUUAGUAGUUUAUUUAUUUCCUCAUAUAAAUCAAUGUGUAAUCACCAUUAUCUUAUUUGAUUUUGAUUGAGGUAUGUAUUAAACUUGAGACGUAUUUCGACAUUCUAGAAGAGAUAUGACUAGACCAAUCUCUCUAGUUGGUAACGUCACUCAUCCUAAAGUGAUUGUUGUUCAAGAAAAAGUGAAUUUUCACUAAUAAUUCAUCAUUCCAAUAUCCACAUCGUGCAAUUAUCGCCCUCAAUAUGUAAAAGUACUCGGAAAAAAAAGAAAGAAGAAGAAUGCUACAAAAACAUAUCAAUUUGAAUGGGAAACUGAGUCUUCCCGGCCCUAGGAAGGGGUGGAUAAUCGUGGCUUGCCACUAGUUGUUUUUUUUUUUUUAAAGAAUGGGAAACUGAGAACCUAGAAACUUUGAAGGAUCAUAACUAAGCAAGCAUGGCAACAAUAUGUCUAUCGAAGCUAGUUAAGAACUGUGGUGUAAGAACUUGAGGAAAGAUUUUUGCAUAAAAGUUUUAUGGAAAAGUAAUGCAUAUGGCCAGGCCAGACAUUGGUUUCAAGUGAAAAACCAAGCAAUCCAACAAACCUCGAAUGUAAUUACGUAGUCGGACAAACACCUCGAGCUAUCGAGCACAUAUGGUACUUAGGUACAAUGGUUACACUUCUCAGGAGUCCUUAUUAACAUACAUAAGUGUGUGCGCACAUAACUAUCUAUAUAUCUAAGUAGAUAUGUUACUCUAAUUCAGCAAUAGCUUCUAACUGAAUGUUUAGAUUUCUUGCAGGUGUAGUUGCAUUUGUUCGUGCAGGACCUGUAGAUGCAAAAGGAUUGGGAGGCAUGGUUAAGUUUUCUCCUCCUUCCAGCAUUUGAACAACUUCUUUCAUGGAAGGACGACCCGCUGGAUGCCACUGGAUGCACCAGAGCCCUACAAUUGCGAGUUUCUUUGGAGUUUUACCAUCUCCUUCCUCCCCAAGAUGGAUUCGUAGGUCGUCUCCUUCUUCUAGGAGAUUAUAGAUCCAUUCUGGAUAGUAAAUUUCAGUUGGGAUUGCUGAGGUUGAAUCAAUAUUCUUCCUUCCCCCUACCAUCUCAAGCAGCAGCAUUCCAAAACUAUAGACGUCCGACUUAUAGGACACAUUUCCAAAGUUCCUGGAGAACACUUCAGGUGCAAUGUAGCCCAUAGUCCCUCUAGCUGUAGUCAUGGACACUAUGCUUUGAUCCUUAGAACACAACUUGGCCAAACCAAAAUCAGAAAUUUUUGGAGUGAAA